rnacentral:rRNA from 1 species
UACGAAGGGGGCUAGCGUUGUUCGGAAUUACUGGCGUAAAGCGUAUGUAGGCGGAUCGUUAAGUCGGGGGUGAAAUCCCGAGGCUCAACCCCGGGCCUGCAGUCGAUACGGGCAGACUAGAGUGUGGUAGGGGAGACUGGAAUUCCUGGUGUAGCGGUGAAAUGCGCAGAUAUCAGGAGGAACACCGGUGGCGAAGGCGGGUCUCUGGGCCAUAACUGACGCUGAGGAGCGAAAGCGUGGGGAGCAAACAGG